rnacentral:rRNA from 1 species
GAUGAACGCUGGCGGCGUGCUUAACACAUGCAAGUCGAACGAAGCACUUUAUUUGAUUUCCUUCGGGACUGAUUAUUUUGUGACUGAGUGGCGGACGGGUGAGUAACGCGUGGGUAACCUGCCUUGUACAGGGGGAUAACAGUUGGAAACGGCUGCUAAUACCGCAUAAGCGCACGGCAUCGCAUGAUGCAGUGUGAAAAACUCCGGUGGUAUAAGAUGGACCCGCGUUGGAUUAGCUAGUUGGUGAGGUAACGGCCCACCAAGGCGACGAUCCAUAGCCGACCUGAGAGGGUGACCGGCCACAUUGGGACUGAGACACGGCCCAAACUCCUACGGGAGGCAGCAGUGGGGAGUAUUGCACAAUGGGCGAAAGCCUGAUGCAGCGACGCCGCGUGAGCGAAGAAGUAUUUCGGUAUGUAAAGCUCUAUCAGCAGGGAAGAUAAUGACGGUACC